UACGUAGGGGGCAAGCGUUGUCCGGAGUUACUGGGCGUAAAGCGCACGCAGGCGGUCUCUUAAGUUUGGAGUGACAGUUGGUGGCUUAACUGCCAAAGUGCUUCGAAAACUGAGAGACUUGAGGGCUUCAGAGGGACACGGAAUUCCGGGUGGAGUGGUGAAAUGCGUAGAGAUCCGGAGGAACACCAAAGGCGAAGGCAGUGUCCUGGAGAGUACCUGACGCUCAGGUGCGAAAGCCAGGGGAGCGAACGGG
rnacentral:rRNA from 1 species